UGAUCAUUAGCCCAGAGAAGAAGUGGACAAAAGUUGGACUUAGUGGGGCCCAUCUUUCACCGAUUUGUGACCUGCUGCAAGCCUGCAACCUUUUGAGUCGCACAGAACACUCCAGGUUGUGUCGUGUCAUCAGAAAACAACACGAUGGCGAAUGAAGCCAAGCCAUGCCCCUGUGAUAUUGGCGAUCGGAUGGAGUACGGAGGACUCGGGCAAGAGGUUCAACUAGAGCAUACUAAAGCAUAUGUAGUCAAGCCAUCCACUGCAUCUGACAAGGCCAUUAUUGUCAUACAAGACAUUUAUGGGUGGCAGCUUCCCAACACCAGAUACAUGGCUGACAUGCUGGCUGCCAAUGGAUACAUUGCUGUUUGUCCAGACUUCUAUGUUGGAAAGGAGCCGUGGAGUCCAUCACAUGACUGGUCCAAAUUUCAGGAGUGGCUUGAAGACAAAAAGCCAACCAACAUAAACAAAGAGGUGGAUGUAGUGCUGAGGUUCCUGAAGGAGCAGUGUGGGGCCAAACACAUCGGAGCAGUGGGCUUCUGCUGGGGAGGGGUUGCCACACAUUACCUGGCCCUGCAGUAUGCAGAGGUCAAAGCUGGAGUGUCAGUCUAUGGGAUCAUCCGCGAGAGGGAGGACAGGUAUGAGCUGAAGAGUCCCACGCUGUUCAUUUUUGGGGAGAAAGAUGAGGUUAUCCCACUGGACCAGGUGAGUGCCCUUGAAGCAAAGCUGAAGGAAAAAUGCACAGUGGACUACCAAGUGAAGAUCUUUCCUGGUCAGACUCAUGGGUUUGUCCACCGCAAGAGAGAGGACAUCAAUCCCACAGACAAACCCAGCAUCCAGAUGUCCAGAACAGACAUGCUCAACUGGCUCAACAAGUACAUGUAGAUGAGAAGGUCAGAGCCAGCACAUUGGAGUCAGUUGUAUGUGGCAUUGUGCUAGCAACUGGUGCCAUUUAAUCAUAUCUCUACACAUGCUGGACCAACUGUGAGUCAGGAUGAAAACCUGAAAAAGGCCAAAUGUAAAAUGCAGAGGUGCUAUUCAGAGCGAGCUGACAUUUCUCAGAUCUUUUAUUUUCUUAUUCUGGAAGAUGUCUUCAUCUUUGGAUACUAAGGAACUGUGAUUUUAAUCUUAAUGAUUCUUGAGCCAUAUAUGUAAUAUAAAGGACAUUUGCUUUGUGUAUGCAGCUGUGUGGAUGCAGUAUACUGUCUUGUUAAUGUAAGAUUGCAAGCAAUUAUCUGUUGAAUAUAAUAAGAUUACUUACUAUGCCUUAGCUUGCCAAAUCUUUGUUUUAUAAGAUAUAAAAUGUAAACCUAACAUGGAAUACAC